UACGUAGGGUGCAAGCGUUGUCCGGAAUUAUUGGGCGUAAAGAGCUCGUAGGCGGUCUGUUACGUCGGCUGUGAAAACCUGGGGCUCAACUCCGGGCCUGCAGCCGAUACGGGCAGACUAGAAUUCGGUAGGGGAGACUGGAAUUCCUGGUGUAGCGGUGAAAUGCGCAGAUAUCAGGAGGAACACCGGUGGCGAAGGCGGGUCUCUGGGCCGAUAUUGACGCUGAGGAGCGAAAGCGUGGGGAGCGAACAGG
rnacentral:rRNA from 2 species